rnacentral:rRNA from 1 species
GAUGAACGCUAGCGGCAGGCUUAAUACAUGCAAGUCGAGGGGCAGCAGGGUGUAGCAAUACAUCGCUGGCGACCGGCAAACGGGUGCGGAACACGUACGCAACCUUCCUUCAAGUGAGGAAUAGCCCAGGGAAACUUGGAUUAAUACCUCGUAACAUUGUGAAGUGGCAUCACUUUAUAAUUAUAGCUCAGGCGCUUGAAGAUGGGCGUGCGACUGAUUAGGUAGUUGGCGGAGUAACAGCCCACCAAGCCUGCGAUCAGUAACUGGUGUGAGAGCACGACCAGUCACACGGGCACUGAGACACGGG